rnacentral:rRNA from 1 species
AUUGAACGCUGGCGGCAUGCCUUACACAUGCAAGUCGAACGGCAGCACGGGAGCAAUCCUGAUGGCGAGUGGCGAACGGGUGUGUAAUAUAUCGGAACGUGCCCAGUCGUGGGGGAUAACGCAGCGAAAGCUGUGCUAAUACCGCAUACGAACUACGUAUGAAAGCGGGGGAUCGCAAGCCCUCGAGCGAUUGGAGCGGCCGAUAUCAGAUUAGCUAGGUGGUGGGGUAAAGGCCCAACAAGGCGACGAUCUGUAGCUGGUCUGAGAGGACCACCAGCCACACUGGAACUGAGACACGGUCCAGACUCCUACGAGAGGCGGCAGUGGGGAAUUUUGGACAAUGGGCGCAAGCCUGAUCCAGCAAUGCCGCGUGCAGGAUGAGGGCCUUCGGGUUGUAAGCUGCUUUUGUACGGAACGAAACGGUCCUUUCUAAUACAGGGGGCUAAUGACGGUACCGUAAGAAUAAGCACCGGCUAACUACGUGCCAGCCGCCGCCGUAAAAC